rnacentral:lncRNA from 10 species
UCAGAUGGUAUGAGAGAAGCAAACUUUUUUCCAGGAAGAGAAAAACAAACAAAAAAACGCAAGGAAUGCAAAGCUUAAGUCUAAUGUACUGCUGACUGAUGUUCUUAUAACUGAGAACUGAUAAGGAAAGCCCAAUUUCUUUCAACCCAAACGCACCAGUUAUGUUUACUGGAUCAGAUGAGCCAGGCAGCUAUCAACAUUUCACUACUUCCCAACACACAUCUACCCAGAGAGGAAUCCAAAAAACCUCUCCCCCACCCCCAGGUCUGACUCUCCCUACUGCAGUCACUGUGCAGAAGGGUCCAGCAAAAAGAGAGAGGGUCCUCCAGGGUGGCCAAGGCUUCAGUACAGUAGCUGUGAAUCAGCAAUGCCACAUACAUGUCCACAAUGGGAGUCUGUCUUGGAUAAUUCUUUGUGACUUGUAAAUUAGAGUUUGGUUUUCACAUACUAAAAGAAUAGAACGUUAAAUGACAAAGGUAUAGGGACUGUUUGAAAAUGAGAUGCAUGGCCAGGCACAGUGGCUUACGCCUGUAAUUCCAGCACUUUGGGAGGCCAAAGCGGGCACAUCUCUUAAGGCGAGGAGUUCAAGACCAGCCUGGCCAACAUGACAAAACCCCGUCUCUACUAAAAAUACAAAAUUAGCCAGGCAUGGUGGCACAUGCCUGUAAUCCCAGGUACUUGGGAGGCUGAGGCAGGAGAAUCCCUUGAACCCAGGAGGUGGAGACUGCAGUGAGCUGAGACUGUACCAUUGCACUCCAGCCUGGGUGACAGAGCAAGAGACUCUGUCUUUAAAAAAAAAAAAAAAAAGAAAAUGAGAUGCAUUCUGUCCUGUUUCUUGCUUUUUUAAAGAGACAAGAGUUUUGCUCUGUCUCCCAGGCUAGAGUGUAAUGCUGUCAUCACAGCUCACUGCAGCCUCAAACCCCUGGGCUUGCACGAUCCUCCCAACUCGGCCUCCCGAGUAGCAGGGACUGCAGACACGCACCACUCCGCCCAGCUAACUUUUUAUUUUUAUUUUUUUGUAGAGACAGGGUCUCGCUGUGUUGCCCAGGAUAGUUUUGAACUCCUGGUCUCAAGUGAUCCUCUCACCUUGGCUUCCCAAAACGUUGGGAUUACAGGCAUGAGCCACUGUGCCUGCAUGUCUUGGUUUUAUAGGGGAGAAAAAGAAGUCUGCUGUGUCCUGCUAAAUCCCCUUGUGGGUGACAUUGCCCUUCUCAGCUACAUAAAUAACACUGGAAAGAGAACCAGGUGUGCACAGCACAAGGCUGAGCAAUUUUUCUAGAAUACUCAGUCCCAGGCUACCCUUUACCACAUCCAACACCACAGUACUGCAAGGGCCUGACAGGGCGCCUCUCUUCGGCUCUAAGAUGGGCUUGAGAGACAGGGCAUGGAGGGCUGCCUGCAUGGGGGCCCCCAAUCCCAGAAUUUCAUUCAUGAACUCAAGAGGCCUGUUUCCGCAGCACGCGGCAGCUCAUACAUACAAAGCUGCAACACGUGGUCACCACGUCCUGAUGUCCACUGUGUGAACAACACAAGGGGAGCUCCAAUCUGCAUCUCUGACCUCCUGGUUAGAGGGUGGCUGAUCAGAUCUGAAGGCCCUCAAAGUGAACCAUUCACUCACCUCCAUCAGCUCCAGGAACAAUCUAAGACAUCAAGAUAUGUGUCACUGGUAAUAGCAAAAAAUCGGAAAUUAUUACAAGGUCCAAGAACAAGAUGGUAACUGAGGAUGGCAAGAGACAUUCACAGAGGGGUAUGACAAGAGUUCCUUCGUGCCGACCAGGGCUUUCUAAUUAAAGGAGAACAUUUCAUCCCCUAUUGAUGUGGAAGAUGCUGCACAAAAAACCCCAGGAUAGCAUGACCUUGACUAUGGGAAACAACCAGAAAGGACACCAGACCUUCUCUCUCAUGGAAUGGUUCUCUUACUUCUGUUCCUCUCCACUUUCUGGGUUCUACAGUUACCACACAUACUUUUAAAGUUUUUAGAUCAGAGUACCGUAGCCUCAGCUGGUCACUGUGCCAAUUCAAGUUUCAAAAGAAGAUCAUGAAUCCAGAUGGCCCCUCAGAGGGCUUGCUGUGCCCAACCCUCCCCAUCCCCCAGCAGGGGGCGCUGCUAUUGGUGGAACAAGGCAGUGAGGGUGCCCAAUUAGCCCCCAAGAAACUGCACUGCUUGCAACAAGGCAAGACCAAGCUCUGAGAGAAAACCAGCAGAAUGCGGGUUACAGAAUUUCAAGGUGCCACAUCUGGACUGAGAAGCACCUCAUAGAUACGCCCUACCCACUGCUGGACUUUGAGAAACUACAAGGCUCCUCUGCCACUAGCACUUGGGAAUCCCCUGCAUGGCAGCACAUGGUGCCACAGGGCAGGUGGGCAAUGAUCCUUAAAACAUCAAACUCACUCAGCAACGAACCACAGUGGUAACCACUCUCCAUCCUCCUUCCUGUGCCAGUCGGGCGGGGACCUCCACCUGAAACAAGGGGUGGAGAAACCGACAGGAAGACCAGUGGCCCAAGGACAGGCUCAGCAUGGGCCAUGAGCACACACAGCUGGCAUCCUGCUUCUGGACGGUGAUGGGAUGCCAGUGAGACUGCAGAGUGGACACUUCCUUGAGCUAGAAGCCUAACGAACAUACCAGCUGGGCCUGCACCAGCUGAAAACACUGGCUGCUCCAUGGCUAUUCACUUUCCAAAUACCAAGAAAUGGAAAGAAAAGGAAAGUUCGGCUGGGCACAGUGGCUCACGCCUGUAAUCCCAACACUUAGGGAGGCUGAGGCAGGUGGAUCACUUGAAGUCAGGAGCUUAAGACCAGCCUGGCCCAUCUCUACUAAAAAUACAAGAGGAAAAAAAAAUUAGCUGGAUAUAGUGGCGCAUGCCUGUAGUCCCAGCUACUUGGGAGCAAAGGCAGGACAAUCACUUGAACCUGGGAGACAGAGGUUGCAGUGAGCCAAGAUUGCACCACUGCACUCCAGCCACUCUAGCCUAGGUGAGAGAGCAAGACUCUGUCAAAAAAAAAAAAAAAAAAAAAAAAAAAAAAGAAAGAAAGAAAGAAAGAAAAGAAAAGAGAAAAAAGAGAAGAGAAGAGAAGUUCUAGGCUGGGUGCGAUGGCUCAUGCCUAUAAUCCCAGCACUUUGGGAGGCUGAGGCGGGUGAAUCACUUGAGGUCAGGAGUUCGAACCAGCCUGGCCAACAUGGUGAAACCCUAUCUCUACUAAAAAUACAAAAAUUAGCCAGGUGUGGUGGUGUGCAACUGUAGUCCCAGCUACUUGGGAGGCUGAGGCACAAGAAUCGCCUGAACCCAGGAGGCAGAAGUUGCAGUGAGCCGAGAUCGCAAAACUGCAAUCCAGCCUGGAUGACAGAGUCAGACUCUGUCUCAAAAAAAAAAAAAAAAGACAGAAAGAAAUAAAGAAAAGAGCAGUUCUCACUUUCCUGCUGGGCUUGACCUGCGGUACAGAAGUUUCCAGCCGGGCGCAUUGGCUCAUGCCUGUAAUCUCAGCACUUUGGGAGGCCAAGGCCGGCAGAUCACGAGGUCAAGAGAUGGAGACCAUCCUGGCCAACAUGAUGAAACCAUGUCUCUACUAAAAAUACAAAAAUUAGCCAGGUGUGAUGGCACGCGCCUGUAGUUCCAGCUACUCGGGAACCUGAGGCAGGAGAAUCACUUGAACCCAGGAGGCAGAGGUUGCAGUGAGCCAAGAUCGUGCCACUGUACUCCAGCCUGGCAACAGAGCAAGACUCCAUCUCAAAAAAUAAAAAAAGUUUCCAGGAAGUGAGGUCCUGAACAGAGGAUCGAUGGUCCAAAGAGGCAAAGGUAGCAGCUUCCACUGGGUGGGCAGUCACUAUGUGCCACCACUAAGCUGACUCUGAACACACCACGUCCUUCCUCUGCAUGAGACCAGGACAAGGGAGCCCCCCCACGAGGCCUGAGGACAUGCCGAGACACACAGGGAGGUGGCAGAGACCUCCAACCUCAUCACACGAAGUGGUCAGCCUCCCCCAGCUGUAAGUAAAUGUGAGUUCUGUGGUGUGUUUCAUACAGGGCUCCAUCUAAGUAAGAAUGUGACAUGGGGACCCUGGCCCCAAGUCAUUUGGUGCCCUGCCAAGGUAGGAUGCUAACCUCAGCUGCAGCCAAAUACCUCAGAUUCCCUCCUCAGGCAGCUUCCCAGGGACUUAAAAGAGGUAGCAGGCACCAUGAAGGACAUUACUGAGCACCCCCCAAGCGUGAGAUGAAGCCUGCCACGAGGCACUGUGCACCCAGGCGCUGCGCCCAGCAGGCCUGCAGAAAACCACAAGGCCAGGUACCCUUAAGACGACAGCAAAGUGCAGGCGCACUGCCAGCUGUGGGCUGGGACCCAGCCACAGUCUUACCACAUCAACUAGCACAUUCUGACUCUUUCUAAAGCCAACGCCCCUUCCGAGUCAGGACCAACAGUGUUUCCACCAUCAUGUGAAAAGAGGAAAAACUGAAGCCCCAGACUGUACGUCUCCCCACAAGAAGGAGAGGAGGGGUUAUAGGAAAAGGUACAGAAACCCUGGGCCUCCAAUCCCAGGACACUAGGAGGCCAGACAAGGCCAUCUGCAUUCCACUAACACGUGACACACAGAGACACACACACAUUCCACACAUGUGACACACCAGCAAGCUCAGCAAUGUGGGAGUGGCACGCUUCUCACCACACAGCGCCGGAGUCCCUGAGUGCAGGCGAGCACCAGGAUGCCUUCUCCCACGCUCCUGCUGCAUGUGGCUCCCAUCUGCUUCCGAGUGUCUAGAAAGCUGCCCUCCACCCUGGUCAGCUCUGUACUCAGACUCUCAAAUGGAAGAUGAGAGGUGAGGAGAAAACUGCAGCCUUCUACUCUCUGAUACAUGUUCCCAGAGUCACUCAGAGUGGCAAGGAAGAGGGAUAAUGAAGGAUGCCCGAGCAAAGCUGGAAACGACACGCACUAUGCGGCUGGUGGGUCCUAGACAUGACCAAGCACAGCUGCCCACCCCAAGGACUCCAGGGGUGUCUUGCAGAGUGCAAGGGGGAGAGAAGCCCCUGCUUUACCAACUUAGCCCCCAGCCCCUAAUCCAACCAGAACCCUCACUGUAGCACUACAUGCGCAGGUGAACAUGCACCUGCUGAUGACUAUGGAGCCCUCCACCCCCAGGCCCUCACCUGGACUCCGGGAGCCACCAUCUGGGCAGCCUGAGCUGUCUGUACUGCUGUCUGCUGCUGCUGCACCUGGGGCUGCACUGGGGGCUGCUGCACCACCAUCGGAGCUCGGACCUUGAGGGAGAAAGAGAGAAUGUGAUUUGGAACCACCUGGGUCAGAGAGCAGAGCCUAGUCUUCCUGUGGAAGCUUAGGAAAUGGAGCCUUUCUUGAGGUGAGGAAUGGGACUUUCAUGACCUCAUGUGCUGUGAUGUCACCUUACUGGCCAUCUAGGAUCCCAUUAGCUCAAAUCCAAUUCUGGCAAGUGGCAAUGUGGCCCUCCCACUGGGAUGUCUCCACACAUCCCUCAGCACCAGCUAUCACAAGCACUGACGACUUCCAAUGCAGAGCUUACAGCCUAGCCUGCUCA